rnacentral:rRNA from 1 species
UAAUACAGAGAGUGCGAACGUUGUUCGGAAUUACUGGGCUUAAAGAGUACGUAGGCGGCAUGAUAAGUGAUAGGUGAAAUCCCACGGCUUACCCGUGGAACUGCCUAGCAAACUGUCAAGCUAGAGUGUGGUAGGGGAGAACAGAACUCAUGGUGGAGCGGUGAAAUGCGUAGAUAUCAUGAGGAAUACCGGUGGCGAAGGCGGUUCUCUGGUCCACAACCGACGCUGAGGUACGAAAGCUAGGGUAGCGAACGGGAUUAGAUACCCCGGUAGUCCUAGCCGUAAACGAUGGGCACUAGCUUGGGGCCUCCCUGUGUGGUUCCAGGUGAAGCAAAAGUAAUAAGUGCCCCGCCUGGGGAGUAUGGUCGCAAGGCUG